GACGAACCGUGCGAACGUUAUUCGGAAUCACUGGGCUUAAAGCGCGUGUAGGCGGAUGGGAACGUCGGUCGCUGAAAUCCCCCGGCUCAACCGGGGAACUGGCACCGAAACGACCCGUCUGGAGGGACGUAGGGGGACCUGGAACUUCCGGUGGAGCGGUGAAAUGCGUUGAGAUCGGAAGGAACGCCCGUGGCGAAAACGGGGUCCUGGACGUCUACUGACGCUGAGACGCGAAAGCUAGGGUAGCGAACGGG
rnacentral:rRNA from 1 species